rnacentral:rRNA from 1 species
AUGAACGCUGGCGGCGUGCCUAAUACAUGCCAGUCGAGCGAACAGACGAGGAGCUUGCUCCUCUGACGUUAGCGGCGGACGGGUGAGUAACACGUGGAUAACCUACCUAUAAGACUGGGAUAACUUCGGGAAACCGGAGCUAAUACCGGAUAAUAUAUUGAACCGCAUGGUUCAAUAGUGAAAGACGGUUUUGCUGUCACUUAUAGAUGGAUCCGCGCCGCAUUAGCUAGUUGGUAAGGUAACGGCUUACCAAGGCAACGAUGCGUAGCCGACCUGAGAGGGUGAUCGGCCACACUGGAACUGAGACACGGUCCAGACUCCUACGGGAGGCAGCAGUAGGGAAUCUUCCGCAAUAGGCGAAAGCUUGACGGAGCAACGCCGCGUGAGUGAUGAAGGUCUUCGGAUCGUAAAACUCUGUUAUUAGGGAAGAACAAAUGUGUAAGUAACUAUGCACGUCUUGACGGUACCUAAUCAGAAAGCCACGGCUAACUACGUG